CCUACGGGUGGCAGCAGUAGGGAAUUUUGCGCAAUGGGCGAAAGCCUGACGCAGCAACGCCGCGUGAUCGAGACGCCCUUCGGGGUGUAAAGAUCUGUUAGUUGGGACGAAACUUGACGGUACGUACAGAGUCACCACCGGCUACUUCCGUGCCAGCAGCCGCGGUCAUACGGGGGGUGCAAGCGUUGUCCGGAAUCAUUGGGCGUAACGUGUUCGUAGGCGGCACGUCAAGUCUGGUGUUAAAGGCAGAGGCUCAACUUCGGUACGGCACUGGAUACUUGCGGGCUAGAGUGCGGUAGAGGUGAAGGGAAUUCCAGGUGUAGCGGUGAAAUGCUUAGAUAUCAGGAAGAACAUCAGUGGCGUAAGCGCUUUACUGGGCCGUAAUUGACGCUGAGGAACGAAAGCCAGGGUAGCAAAUGGGAUUAGAUACCCUGGUAGUC
rnacentral:rRNA from 1 species